rnacentral:rRNA from 1 species
ACAGCAGUAGCCGCGGUAAUACGGAGGGUGCAAGCGUUAAUCGGAAUUACUGGGCGUAAAGCGCACGCAGGCGGUUUGUUAAGUCAGAUGUGAAAUCCCCGAGCUUAACUUGGGAACUGCAUUUGAAACUGGCAAGCUAGAGUCUUGUAGAGGGGGGUAGAACUCCAGGUGUAGCGGUGAAAUGCGUAGAGAUCUGGAGGAACACCGAUGGCGAAGGCAGCACCCUGGGCCAACACUGACGCUCAUGCACGAAAGCGUGGGGAGCAAACAGGAUUAGAUACCCGCGUAGUCCCUGUCUCUUAUAC